GAUCCCCACAGACGGCGAAGUAGUUAAUUUUAUAUUUGAUGCUUUUUU
rnacentral:sRNA from 1 species